rnacentral:lncRNA from 1 species
CCAAAGAUUCUUUGUCUCAAAUGAAGGAGUCUGUUUGCGAACUUCAAUCAGUUCUCCGAAGAAAGCAAGGAGAUCUAGAUCAGAGUGAUGUGAAGCAGUACUUGUCCAAGAGAAAGGCAGUCAGGAAGUCCAUCCAGAAAGCAUUGAAGAGCUUGAAGAGUAUCCAAUCUAACAGCAAUGACAACCCAGAGAUUGUUGCAGUCUUCAGAGACGUUGAAGCCACUACAAUCAACGUGUUCGAGUCCUU